GGUGGGGAGAGAAGGAGACUCUCCUGAGGGCAACAGUGAGAGAAGGGAACUUGCCAGUGGCCCAUCUAGUCCUGGAUCCUGUUCUCACAGUGGCCAACAGGCAUCAAUUUACACUUAUUUACAUUGUUUAUGUUGAAUUGCACUUGCCAUUUUAUUACCCAUUCACUCAGGUUGGAGAGCUUGUUUUCACAAUCUCUUCUUGUUUGAAUGACCCUGAACAAUUUAGCAUCAUCGGCAAACUUCACUGCUCACCCCUAAUUCUCAAUUGUUUUUGAACAAGUUAAAUAGCAGAGGUCUCAGUGUUGAUCUUUUUAAAAUAAAAAAUAAAAUAAGGUGUUGUUAAAGUUUUUUCAUAAUACAAUAAGAUAAAAGAAACUAAAUAAAAACAAAAACA